UCUAAGGGUGCCUGUACCCACCGCUCUUCAAUUUCCCCAAAACUUUCUCAAUGAAUCAUUGAAAAGUUCUCUAAGCUUAAGAAAAAAAUUCAGAAAGGCAGAUGGCCAGGAGCAGUUUGGCCUUCCUCUGUGCAGGUUGUAAAUGGUCCUUUUACGUGGGAUGAGAGUGCACCUGUAUUCUUCCUCAUUCUGUUCUGUUGGUUUGGUUUUGUAUGUAAUGAAGUUUGACCAAAGCUGCCUUCAUCUCUGCCCUGAGCUGGUGCCUGGGCUGAAGCAGAGACCACCAAGGCACAGAAGGGACUCAGGGCUCUUCAGGAUGGAGGGACAUCUGCCUCCAGGCUCCUAUAUCAUCCCCAGGCUGAGGAUGGCAGGGGUAAAUAUGCCCUAGUGGCAGCAAUGUUCCCUUCCUGCAAAGACUCAGGCACCCCUAUGGGACAUAGGUCAUAGGACUCUCUGAAUGAAGGAACACCACAAUGGGUCCCUGUCCUUUGAGGGCAUAGCCUGAACAUACAUGGCCUUUCCCAUGGAGCCACUGCUCCUUGGGCAUACCCUCUAUGUCUACUAACCUUCUGCAUAUGCCAUUCUCUUGUUCCACCAGAUGCAGCCAGAGAAUGCAGCCUGCAUUUCUGGAGAUUUUCCUGCACACAGGGACAGCGCUCCCAGAAGUCCCCAGGCAGGAGGUGGCUGCACGCAUGGUUUGUGCACAUGGUGAACAAGAAUGUAUACCAUGAUGGAUUGGAAACCACCUAUUGCUACAUAUCUGCACACCAAGUGAACAGUUCUGUGAAAAUACUGACAAGACUAUGACAUUCCACUUAAUCUGCCUAUUGUGUUUGAGGAUCUUGGACACACAAUUAAAAUAUGCCUCCUUGGUUUAGAAAACCUUUGCCAUCAAAUUGAUAAUAAAUAUGAUGAUAAAUAAAUACA